rnacentral:lncRNA from 1 species
AUCAAAGAAAAUCAAGGUAUGUUUUUAUAGUUUAUGUUGAAUAUGCUUGUUCUCAUUUUUUCAAAGUUGAAAACUCACAGUAUAUAUUCCUUAUAUGAUUUGUACCUAUAUGUGAUGAAAAGUUAACAUUUUCUAAAUAAAUGAUAUGGUCAUUAAGGUAACUAGGAUAUUAGUAGAAGGACGUUUCCUCAAAUUCUUGAUUCAUGAGACUUCUCUACAUAUGUACCUUUAUUUUCGUUCUUUAAAACCUUUUUUAUGUGUAGUUUUUGUAUUAUCUAACAGACUAUGCAAAUCACAAAUCUAUUUCUCACGAUCUUAGAGUAAUAGUUACAUGACUAGAAAUAAAUACUAGUUGAAUGCAUAGAAAUAUGGUAUAAAAGUUAUUGCAUGUGACAGGGCAACAAACUUGACAGAAAACAAAUUUUUUACCUGAGUUUUCUUAAUUCCAGAAAUAUGUCUACAACACUGGGUAUAUGCUAUGCCGCAAAUAUUUAAUGUUUUUAAAAGUCUCAAAAUGUGUAUGUUUUUCAGCCCAAGCCUUGUCAGUACUGUAACAUAAUUGCAGCAUUUAUUGGUACCAAGUGUCAGCGUUGCACAAAUUCAGAAAAAAAGUAUGGACCACCUCAGACCUGUGAACAGUGCAAACAGCAAUGUGCUUUUGAUCGGAAGGAGGAAGGAAGAAGAAAGGUUGAUGGAAAGUUAUUAUGCUGGCUCUGUACUUUAUCGUACAAAAGAGUUUUACAGAAGACGAAAG